AUUGAACGCUGGCGGCAUGCUUUACACAUGCAAGUCGAACGGUAACAGGGUGCUUGCACCGCUGACGAGUGGCGAACGGGUGAGUAAUGCGUCGGAACGUGCCGAGUAGUGGGGGAUAACGCAGCGAAAGUUGUGCUAAUACCGCAUACGUACUGAGGUAGAAAGUGGGGGACCUUCGGGCCUCGCGCGAUUGGAGUGGCCGAUGUCAGAUUAGCUAGUUGGUGGGGUAAAGGCCUACCAAGGCAACGAUCUGUAGCUGGUCUGAGAGGAUGAGCAGCCACACUGGGACUGAGAAACGGCCCAGACUCCUACGGGAGGCAGCAGUGGGGAAUAUUGGACAAUGGGCGAAAGCCUGAUCCAGCCAUGCCGCGUGUGUGAAGAAGGUCUUCGGAUUGUAAAGCACUUUAAGUUGGGAGGAAGGGCAGUAAGUUAAUACCUUGCUGUUUUGACGUUACCGACAGAAUAAGCACCGGCUAACUUCGUGCCAGCCGCCGCAGUAAUAC
rnacentral:rRNA from 1 species